AUGUUCAUUGCGGGGAGAAAGCAGUCAUUACAGCAUGCAAAGCUCGCCUGUUAUGUUCUUUUUGUCUUUCCCACUUGGUACAGAAUUAGAAAUACCUACUACAAGACUUUUCUAGAGGAGGUUCGGGAGCGGGAAAGGGGCAAAGUGAUAGAAUUUGAGCUUCCCAGAAUAUCUGAAAACAGGAUGAAGGCAGCAACUCUCCAAAAGUCCUUAAUUACCCAGCCCCACGAAAUUGUCUUCAAGAGCUCUUCUGUUGAUCUGAGUCCCCCCCAUGGGUAUGCGUUUUCUCAGACAGAACAAGCUGUGGUCACUCAGGAAGAACUAGUCCGUUAUUACGACACUACUAAAACCGAAAGCAAGAAGAGUUUCCUUUAAACCGAUUCAGAUUAACAGACUAAGAUUCAGAUCACUGUAUCCUGCACCCUCCCGUCCUUCCGCUGGGGCUGGCGUGCGAGCCGGCACUCCCAGGCACUCGAGGCUGUGGCUCUGACCGGCCAGUCUGUUAGGUAUAUAUAUAUAUCCACUGAGUCAUGAUCCUUGGGCAUGAAUAACGUGGGGACCCUAUUUACUUUGUGUUAAUUUGUCUCCAGUGUUUUACCAAAUGUAUUUCCUUUUCCAUGGCCAUGAGAUAAUUUGUUCAUCAGCUCAGUCUGAAUAUAAAAUUAAAAGCAUUAUGUUUCACCAAAAUUUAAACCUUGGUACAAGUUUAUUUUGGGGAAAAAUGAUUAUCAUGUUGCAUAAUAAAGCUAUCUUGCCUGAUAGGAAAGGGGUCACUCAGAAACUUUGCAUUUGGGAAACUCACAGGCAUGAGGCAACAUAUAAAACAUUUUUCUAAGCAGGAUCCUGUCCCUCUGAGUCACAUUUUGUUUGUAUGAAAUUUGUGUGAUAUUCUUGAUUGUAGUGAACUCACAUAAUGAGUGUACUCUCAGGCCUCAAAAUCAGGUAUUCGAGAGUCAACGUGUCAUUAUCUUCUGCAAAAAUCAGUUUAAUGUCCUUUCUGAGUUUCCCAUCUAACAGGACUAUUAGGAAAUUCGACCUCGAUCAUGCUUAGGGUCCUGCCUCAGGCUGCACCAACCUUCUAGGCUCUGACAUGGUGCAAAGCAUGGGAGCACCUUGUUCUAUCAUCUGCCCGCACAAGCCACCACUAAGACACCUAGUCCCUUUUGGUCUGGCGGCUCUCUGAGGCUUCUGUGCCAGGAAUGGGACCUGGAAGCUUUGGAAAGGUUGGAAAUCCCGACGCCCGUGGUCCCAUGCCGCGAGGAAAGCCACUCCUGUCCUGCGACUUGUCGUCUUCCCAGGCAUUGCCUCUGGUCUAGGGUGCAGCUGCCUCUCUCUCAAACCCUGUUCUGUGUAGUGAGUUUUUAAAAGCAAAGACUGGGGGAUUCUUUCUUGAAGGCUCCCUCUGUUUUCUGUCCUGCCAAAAUGACCCCUCUGGAGAAAUGAGCCAAAAGCCUCAUGCCUGUUUGAAGGAAAUUAAGGCAACAAGGAAGAAACACUGGGAGAAAAACUCAGUUGGAAUUUCAAAAAAAAAAAAAAAUCCAUGAAUGGAUAAAUAAAAUGUAGUAUAUCCAUAUAGUGACAUACUCUUCAGCCAUAAAAAGGAAUGAAAUACUGAUAAAUGUUCCAACAUGGAUUAAGUAUUGGAAAUAUCACGCUAAUUGAGAAAAGCCAGUCACAAAAGGCCAUAUGCAAUAUGAGUCCAUCCACACGAAAUGUCCAGAAUAGGCAAAGCCGUAGAGAGAAGAAGUGGCUUGGUGGUUGCUUAGGUCAGGAGGGAAGGUGAGGGGGUAAAGUGUUAGUAUUUAAAGUCCCUAGGGUUUCUUUCUAAGGUGACAAAAGUGUUCUAAAACUGUGGUGAUGGUUGCACAUAUUUGAAAAUAUAUUAAAAACUAUUGAAUUAUACACUUUAAGUGGAUGAAUUGGUGAUUUAAAUCUUAAUAAAGCUGUGUUUAAAAAUUAUCCAGCUGGGCACAGUGGCUUACACCUGUAGUCCCAGCUACCUGCAGGGCUCAGGUGGGAGGAUUGCUUGAGCUCAGGAGUUUGAGACCAACCUGGGCAAGAUAGUGAGACCCCCCCCCACCUCUAAAUAUAAAUAAAUAAAUAAACAAAUAAAUAAAUAAAUAAAUAAUCCAGGGAGAUUAUCCCCUUAUAAUCAUGAUGUGGUGACUAGUACUGCCCUCCUGUUUAAAACUGUUAGAAAACUGGAAAAAAUAGAAGAAACAACUAUUUUCAGACAUUAGACAAAGGGCCAGCAUAGGAUGAUAUCCUUAACGGAAAGAAAGUAAACGAAGUGAGCCUUAUCAUUGCCAGCCUUUCUCAGGGCAGUUUUUGGAUCACAGUGUGAGGAAGUAGCACCCAAGCAAAAUGUAAUACUCUCAUUAGGUUGAGGAGACUGAGAUAGAAGUUUGGGGAGGCUGAGGCAGCUGGAAUUUGCUGCAUGGAUUACUGUUGAGAGGGAUGGUAUACACAGAAAGAGCUCUAGGAAUUUCCAUAGGGAUACCAUAGAGUGAAUAGCUAUUAAAAGAAGCUAAGCUACACAUGCAUAGAGUGAAAUUCAAUAAAGUUGAGCAAAGACAAACUACCAGGGAGAUAUAAUCUCAACAAUCCCCGGAACUCCCACAGGAUUCAAGUUCUAACCCAUCAGGGUGGAAAGACCUCGACGAAUACUUGAGAUAUUCCAUAAAGACCCAGCAAGGACCAAACCUUGAGAGUAGGGCUAAACUGGCCCUAGAGAAAGAACACUCUAGACUUUUAAUCUUAUGUUAACAAAGCUUAUCUUUAUCAUAGCAAAGCACAAAAACAAGAUUCUAAAGCGGUAAGGGGCUCCGCAACUAAUUUAUUUAUUUAUUUAUUUUAUUAAUUUUUUUAUUUUAGUGUAUUAUGGGGGUAUAAGUGCUAAGGUUACUUAUAUUGCCCAUGCUCCCCUUCCUCCCUCGAGUAAGAGCUUCAAGCGUGACCAUCGCUGCAACUAAUUUAACUACCUGCAGAAAAGCAAAACAAAAAAAGUUUAAUGGAAGAAAACAAAAUCCAGACACUUAACAAUGAAUAGACAUCCAGUAAAAAAUACUAGAUAUUCAAAGCAGGAACAUAUGGUCCAUAACCUGGAUAAAAGCAAGUCAAUGGAAGCAGACCCAGACGUGAUAGAGAUGAUGGAAUUUACAUGCAAGAACUUCAAAACAGCUAUUAUAAACAUGUUCAAGGUCUUAGAAACAACACACUAGAGAGAGAAAUGGCAACCAUAAUAAAAGAACCAAAUGAAACUUCUAGAGCUGAAAUAUAAUGAAAACUUCACUGGCUAGAAUUAGCAGCAGAUGAGACACUGAAGAAUAAAAAAUAAAAACUUGAAGACAUAACAAUAGAAACUAUUCAGACUGAAACACAAAGAGAAAGAAGGCUGAGCAAAGAAAUGAAGAGAUAUUGUCUCAGUCACCUGUGAGACAGUAUCAAGUAGUUUAACAUGCUUUAUAAGUUGCUUUAUAAGUUGCAGAUAGAGAAAGGACAGACCAGUUGGCUGAAUAAAUAAAGGCAGAACAUUUCUCAGUAUUUGCUUGUACCUCACUGAACUCCUUUAAAUAUCACAGCAUGUAAGAAGCAAAGGAACACAAAGCCACCCAAACUUUAGGGGAUAAAUGAUUUCAUCACCAAUCCUCAGCAUUUAAGUCAGUCAGUUGAUUAUUUUGAAAUAUCACCGGUCGUUCCACGCUGGCGCUGUGCAAAAGCAUCUGGGCGGUGCAUUUUCACACAGCACUUUAGUUUCUUGCCGAAGAUGUAACUGUAACAUGAACACAUGAACCAUGGGCAACGCGAACCAGGGAGCACGUAUGUACUGUAGGCCACGUCACAUGUUUAAAGAACUCCAGAUCAUGUGAAAGUGGCUGUCAGCGGCGGAGCAGUGCCCUCAGAGAAAGGGGCAGGAGCUGGGCCCAGUGACACGCUCAACAUGUGUCCAGAAUGUCAUAAAAUUGACGCCCAGAGAAGACAGGACCGUCAUGGGCCCAGCGGCCCCCGGCAGCGGUGUGCGCUGGAGGAAGAGCCCAGGGCGGAGCCGGCGCGCUGAACCGAGGAGCAAGGGGUCCUGAAGCUCCCUCCAGGCUUCUCGAAACCUCUGCCCUGGGCUUGCUUGUCAAACUGCCUGAGAAGCUGAGCACUGCGCGGGGACGCAGGAAGCGAGCCUGCGAGGCAGGGCCUGGCACCGACCCUUGCGCUCCUGCCCCGCCCGGCGAGCGCGGGGACGCGGCGCGGACCGCACGGGGCGCAGGGCGCUUUCGGGUUCCCUCCGCUCCCCCAGAGCAGCCCUGGUUGAGAAGGUCCCCGGUGCGCUGGGC
ensembl:lincRNA